rnacentral:ribozyme from 14 species
AUUUUAUUUUUUUAUUUUAUUUUUUAUUUUUUUAU